AUUUAAAUAGUUUAAUAAAAAUAUUGAUUUGUGAUAUCAAAGAUGUAUGUAAUACUUUAGAUA
rnacentral:tRNA from 1 species